rnacentral:rRNA from 1 species
UACGGGGGGAGCAAGCGUUGUUCGGAUUUACUGGGCGUAAAGGGCGCGUAGGCGGCCAGCACAAGUCAGUUAUGAAAUCUCCGAGCUUAACUCGGAAAGGUCAACUGAUACUGUGCGGCUAGAGUGCGGAAGGGGCAACUGGAAUUCUUGGUGUAGCGGUGAAAUGCGUAGAUAUCAAGAGGAACACCUGCGGCGAAGGCGGGUUGCUGGGCCGACACUGACGCUGAUGCGCGAAAGCUAGGGGAGCGAACGGG